GAAAUAUGUUAAAAUUAAAAGAUAUGUAAAAUUCAUACCUGCAGAAAUGACAAAAUGGGUCAGUUCACUGCAGAGCAGCGAACUUUUAUGGUGUUACAUUACAACCGUACCCAAAGUUUAGUAGCAGUACAGAAUGCAUUUCGACAAAGAUUUCCUAGUCGGAAACCUCCGAGUAAAAACACUAUCCUACAAAACGUUAGGAAGUAUUUUGAGCACGGAACAAGCCUGAACCGUAACAAAAAUAAUUCUGGCCGACCAAGAACCGCGCGUUCCCAAC